UCCGGUUUGGCACCGGCAGUCUCCCUAGAGUUCCCGGCAUGAUCCGCUGGCAACUAAGGACAGGGGUUGCGCUCGUUGCGCCACUUAAGGCAACACCUCACGGCACGAGCUGACGACAACCAUGCACCACCUGUGCAGGCUCCGAAGAGCACCCGCUUUCACGGGUUUCACCCUGCAUGUCAAGUCCAGGUAAGGUGGGGAUGACGUUCGUCUGAC
rnacentral:misc_RNA from 1 species